rnacentral:rRNA from 1 species
AGACAUUAGAUACCCGUGUAGUCCAGGGUGUAAACGCUGCCGACUUGGUGUUGGAGGCCCUUCGGGGGCAUUCAGUGCCGGAGAGAAGUUGUUAAGUCUGCUACUUGGGAGUACGUCCGCAAGGAUGAAACUUAAAGGAAUUGGCGGGGGAGCACCGCAACGGGAGGAGCGUGCGGUUUAAUUGGAUUCAACACCGUAAAACUCACCAGGGAAGACUGUUACAUGAAAGCCGAGAUGAAGACUCUGCUAGAUUUUCAG